rnacentral:misc_RNA from 1 species
GAUGAAGAACGUAGCGAAAUGCGAUACUUGGUGUGAAUUGCAGAAUCCCGUGAACCAUCGAGUCUUUGAACGCAAGUUGCGCCCGAAGCCAUUAGGCCGAGGGCACGCCUGCCUGGGCGUCACACGUCGUUGCCCCCCCAUCUACUCCUUCGGGAUUGCGGGGGGCGGAUGAUGGCCUCCCGUGCGCCUCGCCGCGCGGUUGGCAUAAAUGCCAAGUCCUCGGCGACGCACGCCACGACAAUCGGUGGUUGCGAAACCUCGGUUGCCCGUCGUGUGCGGUCGUCGCGCAUCGAGGGCUCGAAAAAAUUGCCGGGUUCUGGCUCGGCUUUCAACGCGACCCCAGGUCAGGCGGGGUUACCCGCUGAAUUUAAGCAUAUCAAUAAGCGGAGGA